rnacentral:rRNA from 1 species
UUGGAGGGCAAGUCUGGUGCCAGCAGCCGCGGUAAUUCCAGCUCCAAUAGCGUAUAUUAAAGUUGUUGCAGUUAAAAAGCUCGUAGUUGAAUUUCGGGAUCAAGGGAUCGGUCAUGCCUUGGUAUGUACUGGUCUUAUUGGUUCUCACCUUCUAAAGAACCAUGAUGUCAUUUAUUUGAUGUUAUGGGGAAUUAGGACUGUUACCUUGAAAAAAUUAGAGUGUUUAAAGCAAGCUUACGCUUGAAUACAUUAGCAUGGAAUAAUGAAAUAGGACAUCAGAUUCUAUUUUGUUGGUUUCUAGGAUCGAUGUAAUGAUUAAUAGGGAUAGUUGGGGGCAUUAGUAUUCAAUUGUCAGAGGUGAAAUUCUUGGAUUUAUUGAAGACUAACUACUGCGAAAGCAUUUGCCAAGGAUGUUUUCAUUAAUCAAGAACGAAAGUUAGGGGAUCGAAGACGAUCAGAUACCGUCGUAGUCUUAACCAUAAACUAUGCCGACUAGGGAUCGGAUGAUGUUAAUUUUUUAAUGACUCAUUCGGCGCCUUACGGGAAAC